rnacentral:rRNA from 1 species
CCUACGGGUGGCUGCAGUGAGGAAUAUUGGUCAAUGGUCGAGAGUCUGAACCAGCCAAGUAGCGUGCAGGAUGACUGCCCUCUGGGUUGUAAACUUCUUUUAUGUGGGCAUCAAAUGUUUCACGUGUGGUAUUUUGUAUGUACCACAUGAAUAAGGAUCGGCUAAUUCCGUGCCAGCAGCCGCGUUAAUACGGAGGAUCCGAGCGUUAUCCGGAUUUAUUGGGUUUAAAGGGAGCGUAGGUGGAUUGUUAAGUCAGCUGUGAAAGGGUGAGGCUCAACCGUAAAAUUGCAGUUGAAACUGGCAGUAUUGAGUACAGUAGAGGUUGGCGGAAUUCGUGGUGUAGCGGUGAAAUGCUUAGAUAUCACGAAGAACUCCGAUUGCGAAGGCAGCUCACGGGACUGCAACUGACACUGAGGCUCGAAGGCGUGGGUAUCAAACAGGAUUAGAUACCCUAGUAGUC